AUGUUAGUAGUUGAGUGUACCUCGUCAUCCUUAUAUUUUUUCUGCUUGAUACCAUUCCUCUUCAGAGUCUUAUUCGAAAUCAAGCGCUAUGAAAAAUAUCCGACCAGCCGAAGGAAAACAAAGUUGUAUUCACUAUAUUGCUUGAGAUUGAAUCAAUUAAUUAUCAAAUUUAUUACAAAUUACAAAUAA